ACACAUGCAAGUCGCACGGUCAGCAAUGGCAGUGGCGGACGGGUGAGUAACACGUAGGAAUCUAUCCUGGGGUGGGGGACAACAGCGGGAAACUGCUGCUAAUACCGCAUGAUACCUGAGGGUCAAAGGCGCAAGUCGCCUUGGGAGGAGCCUGCGUCUGAUUAGCUUGUUGGUGGGGUAAAGGCCUACCAAGGCGACGAUCAGUAGCUGGUCUGAGAGGAUGAUCAGCCACAUUGGGACUGAGACACGGCCCAAACUCCUACGGGAGGCAGCAGUGGGGAAUAUUGGACAAUGGGGGAAACCCUGAUCCAGCAAUGCCGCGUGUGUGAAGAAGGUCUUCGGAUUGUAAAGCACUUUUGGCAGGGACGAUGAUGACGGUACCUGCAGAAUAAGCCCCGGCUAACUUCGUGCCAGCAGCCGCGGUAAUACGAAGGGGGCUAGCGUUGCUCGGAAUGACUGGGCGUAAAGGGCGCGUAGGCGGCGCGUACAGUCAGAAGUGAAAUUCCUGGGCUCAACCUGGGGACUGCUUUUGAUACGUGCGUGCUUGAGUGAGGAAGAGGGUUGUGGAAUUUCCAGUGUAGAGGUGAAAUUCGUAGAUAUUGGAAAGAACACCGGUGGCGAAGGCGGCAACCUGGUCCUUUACUGACGCUGAGGCGCGAAAGCGUGGGGAGCAAACAGGAUUAGAUACCCUGGUAGUCCACGCUGUAAACGAUGUGUGCUGGAUGUUGGGAAACUUAGUUUUUCAGUGUCGUAGCUAACGCGAUAAGCACACCGCCUGGGGAGUACGGCCGCAAGGUUGAAACUCAAGGAAUUGACGGGGGCCCGCACAAGCGGUGGAGCAUGUGGUUUA
rnacentral:rRNA from 1 species